AUUGAACGCUGGCGGCAUGCUUUACACAUGCAAGUCGAACGGCACACAGGGAGCUUGCUCCCGGGUGGCGAGUGGCGCACGGGUGAGUAAUACAUCGGAACGUGUCCUGUUGUGGGGGAUAACUGCUCGAAAGGGUGGCUAAUACCGCAUGAGACCUGAGGGUGAAAGCGGGGGAUCGCAAGACCUCGCGCAAUUGGAGCGGCCGAUGCCCGAUUAGCUAGUUGGUGGGGUAAAGGCUCACCAAGGCGACGAUCGGUAGCUGGUCUGAGAGGACGACCAGCCACACUGGGACUGAGACACGGCCCAGACUCCUACGGGAGGCAGCAGUGGGGAAUUUUGGACAAUGGGGGCAACCCUGAUCCAGCCAUGCCGCGUGCAGGAUGAAGGCCUUCGGGUUGUAAACUGCUUUUGUCAGGGACGAAAAGGACCGUGUUAAUACCAUGGUCUGCUGACGGUACCUGAAGAAUAAGCACCGGCUAACUACGUGCCAGCCGCCGCGGUAA
rnacentral:rRNA from 1 species